rnacentral:rRNA from 1 species
AUUGAACGCUGGCGGCAUGCCUUACACAUGCAAGUCGAACGGCAGCACGGGUGCUUGCACCUGGUGGCGAGUGGCGAACGGGUGAGUAAUACAUCGGAACGUACCUUAUCGUGGGGGAUAACGCAGCGAAAGCUGUGCUAAUACCGCAUACGCCCUGAGGGGGAAAGCGGGGGAUCGCAAGACCUCGCGCGAUUAGAGCGGCCGAUGCCUGAUUAGCUUGUUGGUGGGGUAAAAGCCCACCAAGGCGACGAUCAGUAGCUGGUCUGAGAGGACGAUCAGCCACACUGGGGCUGAGACACGGCCCAGACUCCUACGGGAGGCAGCAGGGGGGAAUUUUGGACAAUGGGGGCAACCCUGAACCAACAAUGCCGCGUGGGUGAAGAAGGCCUUCGGGUUGUAAAGCUCUUUUGUCAGGGAAGAAACACCGGCUCUAACACAGUCCGGGAAUGACGGUACCUGAAGAAUAAGCACCGGCUAACUACGUGCCAGCAGCCGCAGUAA